rnacentral:sRNA from 1 species
GUGACGCAGGACAACGCCUGCCACGCGUCGGAACUCGGCCGCGGGGACAUCCACGGGGCGCGAGUGACACGCGGGAGGGAGAGCAGUGUUCUGCUGGAGCCGAUGCCAAAAACCAUGCAUUUCUUAUUCAGAUUCAUUGUUUUCUUUUAUCUGUGGGGCCUUUUUACUGCUCAGAGACAAAAGAAAGAGGAGAGGACCGAAGAAGUGAAAAUAGAAGUUUUGCAUCGUCCAGAAAACUGCUCUAAGACAAGCAAGAAGGGAGACCUACUAAAUGCCCAUUAUGACGGCUACCUGGCUAAAGACGGCUCGAAAUUCUACUGCAGAUAAACCUCUACUUGCAAAGGGAAUUUGAAAAAGAUGAGAAGCCACGUGACAAGUCAUAUCAGGAUGCAGUUUUAGAAGAUAUUUUUAAGAAGAAUGACCAUGAUGGUGAUGGCUUCAUUUCUCCCAAGGAAUACAAUGUAUACCAACACGAUGAACUAUAGCAUAUUUGUAUUUCUACUUUUUUUUAGCUAUUUACUGUACUUUAUGUAUAAAACAAAGUCACUUUUCU